GAUGGCUCAAGUGAAGCCUUACCGAGUGGGAACGAGUGCAACAUGGUCUUGGAUCCCGUAAGAUUUUGCUGGCACAGAUUUUCUCCAAAGCAUCCUCCUUUAAACCUUAUGACCUGAGAUUGAGAUUUUCGAAAAUAUUAACAUCAAAAAUUUGAAUUUUAUAUUUGUACCUAAAGAUUAGGAAGAAUGGAAAGAAAUUUUUUUUUUCUUCAAAUGAAUGAAGGUUACAUAGACUUUGGAAAACCAACUUUUCACUAUAGCUCUUUGUUGCACCAGGCAAGAAGACUAAGUUUAAUUGAAGAAUAAUUGAAUUGUGAUAGGAGGAUAAAU
rnacentral:lncRNA from 1 species